rnacentral:rRNA from 1 species
UACAGAGGGGGCAAGCGUUAUUCGGAAUUAUUGGGCGUAAAGGGCGCGUAGGCGGCUUGGCAAGUGGAUGGUGAAAUCCCUCGGCUUAACCGAGGAACUGCCGUCCAAACUGCUUCGCUUGAGACCGGGAGAGGUGAGUGGAAUUCCCAGUGUAGCGGUGAAAUGCGUAGAUAUUGGGAGGAACACCAGUGGCGAAGGCGGCGAGCUGGUCCAUUACUGACGCUGAGGCGCGACAGCGUGGGGAGCAAACAGG